rnacentral:lncRNA from 10 species
CUGGAAGAAGAAAGACACAAAUGGAAAAGAUUCAGGGGGCAUGGAAUGGAAUGGUGGAGCUCCUGCAUAGAAGCACCAAAAGGAAAGGCAUGUUACUGUAGCAAGCACCCAUGAAAGGAUUCCCCACCACAGAGUAGACUCACCUGUGCUGAAACUUCCUGGGGCAACUGUUGUGGAAGGAGCUACCUCCGAGGUGCCUGGAACACAAAGAGACUGAGGUGAUCAUAGUGAAUGGAAGUUGUGGCCUCUGAGAAAGAGGAA